CCCAGCUAGAAAUCGACACUCUGACAUUGUAACCCUUUGCGUGGAGAAGGAAGAAAACUAACGAUAAUUGAGCGCAGGUUGUGCCUAAUUUACGUUCAAGCCAUACAGCAUAACAUGGACAAGGAAAAUUCUCUUAAUUGGCAUUUUGGAAAGUGGAAAUAAUUACACCCAAGGCAAAAAGGACAGAAGCCAAAGGGAGGCUGCCCAAGGUUUCUUUAAUUUAGCUAAGAUGAUCUCUUGAAAUGGUUUAUGAAAAUGUUAUUGAGCAUCUCAAGAUUGAGGGGCACCACCUGUCUACUAGAGUCGAUCCAUGGAUG